UGAUAUAGUGAAGAGAAUACCAGUGACAUGGAUUUCAAUCCAGCCCUUCUCACUUAGGAAUGGCAGUGUAGUCAGAACUCCACAUUAGCAGUUCACAUUCAGGUAUUCAGCCAACUUUGGAUUGAAAUAUUCAGAAAGCAAGUUCCAAAAGGCAAAAUGUGAAUUUGCCCCAUGCAGGCAGCUAUUCACAUAGCAUUUACAUUGUAUUUACAGUAUUUACAUAGCAUUUACAUUAUAUAGACUAUUAAGAGAUGAUUUAAAGUAUGUGGGAGGACAUAUGUAGGUUACAUGCAAAUAGGACACCUUUUCUAUAAGGGCCUUGAGCAUCCUCGAACUUUGAUAUCUGCUAGGAUCCUGGGAUCAAUCGCCUGUGGAUACUAAGAGAUGACUAAAUAGUUAACAGUAAAUAAUAGUCAUUAUAAUUUAAAAAAAAAACCCUGCACUUUGCAAUACCAGUUGAAUACAUCAUUUUGUAAAAUUCAUCUCUUUUCUUCCAUUUCCACGUUUUCCCUACAUAUAUUUUAAGAAGGAAUUCUCUUACAAUGUUGCUUCUAUAACCUCCUCUCUACCUCUUUAUUUUUUUAAUCAACAGUUAUUUAUCUAAAGGCACUUCUGGGAAUUAGUUGUGAUGGAAGCGGCCAGGGCAAGUGAGAUUCAGUGGCAGGUUGUUUACCUCUCCUUAAAGUUGGAAAAGGGAGAAGCAGCCAGGAUUUGCCCGUUAUCUUAUCCUGCUUGCUUCUUUUGGAUUCAUUCGGCCAACAGGCAUUGAAUCUGCACUCCUCAACGUAUCAUCCUUGCUUUAGGGAUGGAGAAGCGUCUCCUCCCUCUGUCCGCCUCUGUUCCACCGCCCAGUCUUCCGCUUCACGGUAUAGCGCCACUUCUGUGGGAGAACAGAGUUGGGCUGCAGUGUCCACCACGUCCUUCCCUCCAUGGACCAAAUGUGCUGCGUAAGCCCUACUUGUUGUCUGCUUGUUUUUAACUUAGAAAUACUUUCAUUUUUAAUUUAUGCCCAUUUUUAAUUCAAGAAGUAACAAAUGCUAAAGUACUUUCUGAAAUAUUCUCAAACUACACGUUUCUCUCAGAAAGUCGUAGAAUUCUUCAAAGAGUUGCUUUCUAUUUUUCAAGAUGUGAAGAAUGUGGAAAGUUUCUGAAGAAAUUCUGGUGACCUAGAUUGCAGAAAAGCUUGGCAACAUUUGGGUAGCUGGGUAAAUGGUUAUUUCUUUUAAUAAUGGGGGGUGAGAAUCUCAGUGGUAAAAAUUGACUAGUAAUUUCCCUUAUUGUGCUGUCCUUUUGGUAACAUAUUAGAGUGGAGAACCCUACAGGACAUUAUUUGAUUUAAAAAUGAUAAAAAAAAUUUCAAACACAUAGCUUUUAAUUGCAGAGGGAAGGUUAAAGACAGGAAGAAACGUUGGAGGGUAACACACACAAAUACAGACACACUUGAUGAAGCACCCUGCGUUAUGCGGACACAAUUUCCCUUCUGUUAAAACUGUGAACUACACUGUGUGAGUAGGUUUACUGCAUGUUUACAGAAUGCGGUGUCUUCCUUCUGUGUGAGACUAAACUGUACCACAAAGCAUUCUGAAACAGUAUUACAUUUUUGUGCAUUUAGUGGUAGGUUUGCCCUUCUCACUUAGGGAUCUCCACUGUACAUCGGUGUAGGCAAUGUAAUGCUUUUGAGGAGGUUGCCCAAGUUACCUAAAAACAUAUCUGUGGGUUUGUUUAGAGGAAGUAAUGCUUUAUAAAGUAUUUUCAGUAAAUGUGAACAUGUACCAGUUACUAUGUUAUUAGAUUAGUGGAAACACCCAAAUUUCUGAGUGCACUGAGCUAUGAACUGUCACUGUUUCCUCCCCGGAGUUCAGCGGACUCGUUUUCACAUUCUUUACAUUCAUGGCACAUGUGGUGAACUUACGUAAUAACCUUUUCCUGAUUUUGAGAAGUAAUUUAGCAGUUUCUUAAAAAUAUUCUUCCCCUUUCCAUACAGAUGUCGUAUGGUAUAGGUGAAACAGAUGUACAGUUUGUUGAUAGAAUCAGAAGUGCUGGUUUAGAAGAGAAUGUUUUAACACCUUAUGGCUACACAGUCACAAUCUUGCUGAAAAUUAAAUACUCUAAGUAAGUCAGGGGAGCAUGGACCCCCUACGUGUUUGUUUUAGAUUAUAUCUGUCCUUCACUUGGGUGGUGACAUACCUCUCCACUCAGUGGUGACAUGACCGACCCCUUUUGCGGACUGUAUUUAGAUAUGUAACUGAAGCUGGAAAGCAGUGUAACAUACAUACAUAGAGGAACUAUAAUGCAUAAUCUCCAUAGAUGUAAUACUUUUUCUCCUAAACAUAUUAUAUAUUGGUAAUUUCUAAAAAUCAUCACUUUUUUCAGAGCCCUAUAUAAAUGAAUGACAACCUGAUAGUACUAUUGAUGGUGAAAGUUUCCCUUGUUUUUAAAUUAAAGUAUUUCUGUAUCAUCACAAAGUGUCUUUGGGAAAGAACAUUUUAAAGUUUUCUCCAUUGAAGGCAAAAUAGAGGCACUGGUUUGAAUAGUAGUAAAAAAUGAUUAACUUUUAAUACUGGAUGAGUUGAUAGUCUGAUUAUUGACACUUUCUUAGUAUUCAUAAUAUCAGAUUAAUUUAUGAUGGAGGAAUUUUUUGAAGUUCUGGCCCUCUCCCAAACACACACAUGCACACACAGGCUCUGCACAUUUAGAUGAACAAUUAUAAAAUUACACAAUAUUUUUCAUUUUAGUCAUAUAACUUGGUAAAAUUCAUAGGAUUCUACCAUAAAGUACUAACUCCUGACUCCAGUCAUUCUAGAGCAAGGGGAUCAACUUUAUCUUCAAGUUACUCAACUAAAAUGUUUGUAUGUAAAUAACAUAGCAAAAAUAUAGUUUGCCUGAUAUGUAUUAAAAAUUCACUUUCAAAUUAUGUUAACUCUCAGACCACUGAUGAAUCAUUUAGUAAAUAAACUACAUUGCAGUUUUCCUAAACUAAAUGAUGCCUUAGUGCCUUGGAAGUUAAGAUACUUUUGCAAAGUGUAUUUAGCAAGAUUCAGGCUUGGUAUACUGUUGCUGGGAAUUCAGAGCUGGAGCGUAAUUGAACUAGCUCCCUGUGGUUUAUAAAAACCAGUUAUUUCACCAUUGACUAUUACAGAUGACAACUGCUUUCAUGAUGUGGUAUUUGUCGAUUUUUUUUUUUCCAAGUAAGUUUGAAAUGAGAGAAAAUGUAGUCAAGAAAUUAAAUGUAUGAUUUUACAAUUUGGCUUUGUUGUGAACUAGAGAUUCUAGCGUGAACAGUGUGAGCUUUGUAUUGUAACACAAGUGCAGACACUUCGUGUAACUUUUAGGAACAUGUUUACCAUCAGGGAAUUUCUCUCUCUCUCUCUCUUUUUUUUUUUUUUACUCUAGAAAUACUUAAAGUACUGUGAAGUUUAAAGACAGAAGAAACAUAGGAGGGAUAACGCACAAAAACAAAGGCGUUUGUGAUGAAUAUCCUACAUUACGUGAACACAAUUCUCCCCCUUCUGUUAAGACUAUAAACUACACUGUAUGAGUAUGUGUACUGCAUGUUUACAUAAUACAGUUUAAUUUUGAAGGGUUAUUUUAAAAGUAUGUUUAUUUAUAAUACCUAACAAGCUGUAAAUAUUGUAUACUAUUGAUUUUUAAUUUUAUAUAAGCAAUUUUUUAAUUUCCAAUUCAUGUACAAAUCUCAUUGUGUAUAUAGCAUAAUUUCCUGGAGAACAUAAAUUUUGCAGUGGAUUUUAAUUAUUUUAAUUGUGGUAAGCAUCAGGUUAGCCUUAGAAAUGUUGAUUUUUAUUUUAUUUUUCACUACUCAUUUUCUUCAAAGGGCAGCAAUAAACAUAUGCAAGUUAUUUUUGACUAUAGAAAGUUGGUCUGCAAAGAUAAGAUCUGGGUUCCAACUCAUUGCUUUAAAGAAAAGAUGCACAACUAACAUCAUCCACUGUCUAAUCCCAGGGCCAUUUCUGAGGUCCAUGUGUGUCUCUCCUCUUUGUAACAUACAGGGUGAACUCUUUACUGAUACAAACAGGACAACUGUUAAAAGUGAAUCCAGCACUUAAAUGUCAUUACACAGAAUUUAUUGGAUUAAAAAUUUGUAAUAUACAGUAUUUUAAUAACGUUUCUGUAUUCUAUUUCAUGCACUUAUAUAUAAAUAAACCUGUCU
rnacentral:lncRNA from 1 species